AUACGGAGGGUGCGAGCGUUAAUCGGAAUUACUGGGCGUAAAGCGCGCGUAGGCGGUUUGGUCAGUCGGAUGUGAAAGCCCCAGGCUCAACCUGGGAAUGGCAUUCGAUACUGCCUGACUAGAGUAUGGUAGAGGGAAGUGGAAUUUCCGGUGUAGCGGUGAAAUGCGUAGAUAUCAGGAGGAACAUCAGUGGCGAAGGCGGCUACCUGGACCAAUACUGACGCUAAGGUGCGAAAGCGUGGGGAGCAAACAGGAUUAGAAACCCCGGUAGUCC
rnacentral:rRNA from 1 species